UGAACGCUGGCGGUAUGCUUAACACAUGCAAGUCGAACGGAAACGAUACUAGCUUGCUAGUAGGCGUCGAGUGGCGGACGGGUGAGUAACGCGUAGGAAUCUGCCUGAUAGUGGGGGAUAGCCCGAAGAAAUUCGGAUUAAUACCGCAUAAUCUAUUCGUAGUAAAGUGGGGGACUUUCGAGCCUCACGCUAUCAGAUGAGCCUGCGUAAGAUUAGCUUGUUGGUAGGGUAAAAGCCUACCAAGGCGACGAUCUUUAGCUGGUCUGAGAGGAUGAUCAGCCACAUCGGGACUGAGACACGGCCCGAACUCCUACGGGAGGCAGCAGUGGGGAAUAUUGGACAAUGGGGGCAACCCUGAUCCAGCAAUACCGCGUGUGUGAAGAAGGCCUGAGGGUUGUAAAGCACUUUCAAUUGUGAAGAAAAGUUAGCGGUUAAUAACCGUUAGCCUUGACGUUAACUUUAGAAGAAGCACCGGCUAACUCCGUGCCAGCAGCCGCGGUAAUACGGAGGGUGCAAGCGUUAAUCGGAAUUACUGGGCGUAAAGCGUGCGUAGGCGGUUUAUUAAGUCAGAUGUGAAAGCCCCGGGCUUAACCUGGGAACUGCAUUUGAAACUGGUCAACUAGAGUAUGGUAGAGGAAAGUGGAAUUUCUGGUGUAGCGGUGAAAUGCGUAGAUAUCAGAAGGAACAUCAAUGGCGAAAGGCAGCUUUCUGGACCAAUACUGACGCUGAGGUACGAAAGCGUGGGUAGCAAACAGGAUUAGAUACCCUGGUAGUCCACGCCGUAAACGAUGAUAACUAGCCGUUGGGGGGAUUUACCCUUUAGUGGCGAAGCUAACGCGUUAAGUUAUCCGCCUGGGGAGUACGGCCGCAAGGUUAAAACUCAAAGGAAUUGACGGGGACCCGCACAAGCGGUGGAGCAUGUGGUUUAAUUCGAUGCAACGCGAAGAACCUUACCUGGUCUUGACAUCCUGCGAACUUUCUAGAAAUAGAUUGGUGCCUUCGGGAACGCAGUGACAGGUGCUGCAUGGCUGUCGUCAGCUCGUGUCGUGAGAUGUUGGGUUAAGUCCCGUAACGAGCGCAACCCCUAUCCUUAUUUGCCAGCACAUCAUGGUGGGAACUAUAAGGAGACUGCCGGUGAUAAACCGGAGGAAGGCGGGGACGACGUCAAGUCAUCAUGGCCCUUACGACCAGGGCUACACACGUGCUACAAUGGGAAGGACAAAGAGCCGCGAAGCCGCGAGGUGUAGCUAAUCUCAUAAACCUUUUCGUAGUCCGGAUUGGAGUCUGCAACUCGACUCCAUGAAGUCGGAAUCGCUAGUAAUCGUAGAUCAGAAUGCUACGGUGAAUACGUUCCCGGGUCUUGUACACACC
rnacentral:rRNA from 1 species